GGGUCCAUAGCGCAGUGGCCGUCGCGCCGCCUUGCCAAGGCGGAGAACGCCGGUUCGAAUCCGGCUGGACCCC
rnacentral:tRNA from 1 species